rnacentral:lncRNA from 1 species
CCGUCCGCACGGCCCGUCACUGUUCGCGACCAGAGCAAGGAGGGGAGGAGCCGUCGCACGCCACUGCAGCUCUGCCGGCGCUGUCCACGGCUAGAUAGAGGAUCUCUGCCAAGCCACCACCCUCGCUCGCGCCGCCACCACCGUGCGUCACCGUCCAUCGGUCGUGGCCUGAUCUCGGUCCCGCGACGAUCUUCUCUCCCUCUAAGAAGAUUCCUAUGGGCUCGUUUGGUUCAUAUGGAAAGCUUUUUU